rnacentral:rRNA from 1 species
UACGUAGGGGGCGAGCGUUGUCCGGAGUUACUGGGCGUAAAGCGCUUGUAGGCGGUCCACCAAGUUUGGGGUGACAGUUGCCGACUUAAUCGGCAAAGUGCCUCAAAGACUGGCGGACUUGAGGGCCACAGAGGGACAUGGAACUCCAGGUGUAGUAGUGAAAUGCGUAGAUAUCUGGAAGAACACCAAUGGCGAAGGCAAUGUUCUGGCUCGUUUCUGAAGCUCAGGUGCGAAAGCCAGGGGAGCGAACGGG